CAAAGAAUUUUCAGGCAAAUAUCUGAAAAGAAGAAUGUUUCAGAGCAGAGAGCUCCAAACCAGAACAUCAAUGCGUUUAUGAAUGUCAUUAGCAGUGGCAAACAUGCCUCUUUAUGAAUCUGAUGCCAAGUACCAAGGACUCCCUCCGCUUACAGCACAAAUCCCUGUGACCCAAUUCCCUGACCCAUCCUAACGUGAUGCCUCCAAAGUCUUAGCAAAAGGAAAACAGUGGAGCAAAAAGCACGCACGGUGGCUUCUCACCUGGAGUAAGCAUUCAUCAAGGUUGCUGCAGUUGUCCUUUUGGCUGCCCCCUUCUCUAAGAUUUGGUAGACUUCAUCUUUGUUGUGUACUGUGAUUUCCUCUAAGCCUUUGAUUAUCACUCCUCUCUGAUCAAAUAUCAAACAACAUCUAUUACUUUAUAUAGAAAAAGUACGCUGACUUUUAAAAGACUCUACAGUAAAAUUUGGAAACUUUCCUUCUCAAACCCUGAGUUACCUUGUUCCGGGGAUCAUCAAACAUCUGCAGCCUUUCAGAAACAUCAGAAGACGGACUCAGAAGAUCAAAAAGCUCCUCAUUAUAGAUUUCCAAUAGGGAUACUUUCACUGAAAACUCAGUGCCAUUAUCAGUAAGUUUCUCAAAAAUCUGAUGAAGAGUACGUGGAAUUAUACCAGCCAGAGGAUCCUGAAAUUAUAGUAUUAAGAAUUAAAAUAAACUCAAGUGUCAUUUACUAAACUGUUAAAA